rnacentral:lncRNA from 1 species
GCGCAUUGGUUAUUGGUUACGGUUGACUAAAAUAAAAAAAAGAGUAAAAACCGGUAAUCGAUAAAUGCGAACCGAGCACUAAUCCGACGAAGAUCUAAAAGUGUACAAGGGACCUUCCCGGAGCUCUGCUACUCGAACAACCGGCGUUUAUGCCGAUUCCGUUCAUGACAAACUGGAGAACCGACUCCUGUGGCGAAAUCGGACUCAGCGGUUACCUGAACCCGCUCCAGGAAGAUUUCGCCGACGGUAAGAUUUCGAAUCUAGACCUCGACACCGCUACAGACUCAAUAAACGAACUCCAAUCACCAUUAACCUCAAGCAGAGAUCUUCCAUCCGAAAGGGUGGGAAGGAGGACCCACCGCCUCAGCCGCUUAGAUCGAAUUACCGACCACCACGAAGCAUCCCUCGACUCGCGGCGCAAUUUCCGCCGCAGAUCGACAAUCACCGAUCAUCAGUCGCAGUUCAAAUCUGAGGAGAAGGAUCCAAAAAAAAACUCGGCGGAAAGUGUUCAUUGUUUUUAUCAUAGAAUUUUCUCAGUGUAAUUGCAUUUAAUCUUGCGUUGAAUAACUAGGGCUACCGUUCCUUGCUUUUCUUACAAGUUCGUAUCUUUUUUCCGAUGGGGAUUUAUUUCUAUCUUCACGCAGGUAACUGAGAAGAUGAGUGAAUGUAAAGAAAAGCUAAACCAAGCCUGUACUUGAGAUCAAAUGAAUGGCAAUUCUGAAGAUAGACCAUUACCAAAGGCUGCCUCUUUGGUUCCCAGUGAUCUUAGCGUUGUAGAAACUGAGAAACCCGAGGUACAGAAUGCUACCGUGGAAGUUGACUCCGACAACUUGGAUUAUAAUUGACGAUGCAUAUGACGUUCUGAAUGUAUUUUUUAUUUUUGUAUGUCGUCUGUGCACCUGUUUACAUUACUUUCAAUCCCAUUUAGCAUCAGUACAACCCAUAUAGGUCCAUAACUGUUAUAUCUAUCUAUUUGGAGAUUAAAAAAUGUUAUUGUUUUGUUAUCAAUCGUUUAGAAACAGAGAAAUGAAAAUCUCGUUUUUCUGAAUUCUUCUUCUUAUUUCUCUUAAACCAAACAAUACAGAGAGAGUCCCUUUAACCAAUACACAGAAUGCUAAUGGCCAGUAUGAAAGCAACACUGCUCACGAUUGUACCAGCCAGGGUAUGGACCUCGUGAAACCCAUUCCUGCCACUGCGAGUAACCCACUACAAAUAGCUCGCCUACUGAUUCUACACCCCAGUAGACGCAAGAAGAACUCUCCUUGCAGAAUCAUGGUUGCCACACCCAAGGCCAU